rnacentral:lncRNA from 1 species
CCACGCCUAAGCCACUCGGAGGGCUUCAGGAAGAUAAUCUUCCCCACCUCCCGAUUUAGCUUCGGGUUCCGGUUAAAUUCGAGCAUGUGAAUGCAUCCCCGCAGCCCAGACUCAGCCAACAUACUCCUAGAGGAACCACCGUUCUAACCCGCGCUUCAAUUUGGAGUUUGCAGGCUUCUCCGAUGAGAUCCACGUGCACCCGAAAGCGCCGCCCAUCGGAGUUGGAGCUGCCAUCGACGAGGUUCUCUCCGACGACUGCCUCCACCUCCAUCAGCUGUGGAAUCGCCUAGUGAGUGCGCCCAUGUCCUUUCCUCCCUCUGAUUUUCUGCACGACGCCUCCGACGACACCACGAGCCCGUGGAGCGGGCGAGGUGGUUAGAAACCACACAAUGCAGGCCCACUAUCAGGAAUCUGUUUUUAUCGAAUCUUUUUCUAAAUUGUAUCCCCCCUGAGUACUCUUUCCCCUCUGGCUGGCGUAGUUUCAAUAGUGAGCUUUCUGUUUUAUCAGUCAGCCCCCUCGGCUAGUUUCUGUUUUUAUGGAUUAGCCUCUAAACUCAAUUCCUUUAUAACUUUUAAACUACAAGGGCUUUUUAGUUGAUUCUUUUUGCUAAAUUUUUCUUUUGAUGUCUAGUUUAUUUUGAUAUUUAUUCAAAAAUAUUUUAAGACAAUAUUUUGGAUUGUGGUAUUUACGAUAGAACUGAUGUAUGUAACGUAGAUACAGAAGGGGAAGACGUCGCAGUCAACUUACCCAGCUCGACCCCGACUUCGUUGACCCAGGCAAGUGCUUCUGUGAUAACAGACCUUCCCCUGCAACGACACCAGAAGAAUGCUGCUAGCACUCCCCGGCAGCGAAACUAGAAGAAUGUUGUUGAUGGCCACCAACGCGUGGGUUCGCGGCAGUUUUCGAGGGUAGAGUAUUCGACCCAAAUUUGUUGAUUUGCCAGGCAGGAGGUGAGAGGAUACUCUCGAGUAUUAGCAGCUAAAUGUAUCAGAUUCAACCGCACCUAAAAGAUUAGUAUUUGCAAGCAAAGUAGUAACAGCAAAGUAAUAUGAUAACAAUGGUGUCAGAAACGAUCUGUUGAUAAGGCAGACUAUUUCUAACGGUCGUAUCAAUGGCGCCAGAAGUUGCCCGUUGACAGAAAUUGUCUGUUCCCGUCAACGACGAGCGAACCAGAAUUGUAGAAGGUAGCAGUAGUGUAAUGAGUAAUAGCAGUGACAAGGAACAACAGUAGUGACAGCAGUAGCAAGUAGCAACAGUAGCAAGCGACAGUAGUAACAACAGUAGCAGCAGAGCAAGACAAGUAACAGCAGUAGCAGCAGAGCAAGACAAGUAACAGCAGUAGUGGGACAAACUCGUAGACAAUAGGUCGGUGAUUUGUUUGAAUGAUAUUCAUCAUGCAACAGUUAUAACACGGAGAGAUAUGUGGCUAGCUCCUGUUCAUCAAUGUGAUGUAGGCAUACAUUCCGUGUGUAGUCAUACGUGCUUAGGGGAAAAAACUUGCAUGACAUCUAUUGUCCAUCCCUCCUGUGGCAACGGGGUUCAAAAGGAUACUACAUGA